rnacentral:rRNA from 1 species
AUUGAACGCUGGCGGCAGGCCUAACACAUGCAAGUCGAGCGGAUGAAGGGAGCUUGCUCCUGGAUUCAGCGGCGGACGGGUGAGUAAUGCCUAGGAAUCUGCCUGGUAGUGGGGGAUAACGUCCGGAAACGGGCGCUAAUACCGCAUACGUCCUGAGGGAGAAAGUGGGGGAUCUUCGGACCUCACGCUAUCAGAUGAGCCUAGGUCGGUUUAGCUAGUUGGUGGGGUAAAGGCCUACCAAGGCGACGAUCCGUAACUGGUCUGAGAGGAUGAUCAGUCACACUGGAACUGAGACACGGUCCAGACUCCUACGGGAGGCAGCAGUGGGGAAUAUUGGACCAUGGGCGAAAGCCUGAUCCAGCCAUGCCGCGUGUGUGAAGAAGGUCUUCGGAUUGUAAAGCACUUUAAGUUGUGAGGAAGGGCAGUAAGUUAAUACCUUGCUGUAUUGACGUUACCAACAGAAUAAGCACCGGCUAACUUCGUG